rnacentral:rRNA from 1 species
AUGGAUCUGGCAACAGGCGCCAUGGGCUCCCUGUUAACCAAGCUGGCCGAGCUCCUCACCGAGGAAUACAAGCUGCAGUCCAGCGUUAGGGAAGGCGUCGAGUCUCUCCAGAAAGAAAUGAAGAGUAUGCAGGCUGCACUCCGCAAGGUGGCCGAGGUGCCACGGGACCAGCUCGACGAGCAGGUCAAGCUUUGGGCGGGGGAGGUGAGGGAGCUAUCCUUUGACAUGGAGGACGUCGUCGACAAGUUCCUGGUCCAUGUCGACGAGAGCUCUGAGGCUGCAGCAAACUCUAACAAGCUCAAGCGGCUCACGAAGAAGAUGGCCGGCUUGUUCACCAAGGGGAAGGCUCGCCAUGAGAUCGCUGAUGCGAUCAAGGACAUCAAUAAGCAAGUCCAAGCAGUUGCUGAAAGGCGUGCAAGGUACAAUGUCGACAUUACCGUCGCUAACCUCCCUACUGUGACUUCCAUCGAUCCUCGCCUUGGGGCUAUGUACACGGAAGCAACAGGGCUUGUUGGAAUUGCCGGAACAAGGGACCAAGAGAUAAUGAAGUUGCUCUCGGAGGGGGAUGACAUGUCCAAGAAGAAUUUGAAGAUUGUCUCUGUUGUCGGAUUUGGAGGAUUGGGCAAGACCACUCUUGUCAAAACGGUCUAUGAGAAGAUCGGAGGCGAUUACGACUGCAAGGCUUUUGUUCCUGUCGGUCGAAAGGCUGAGGCAAAGACGGUUUUCACAAAUAUCCUUCUUAAUCUUGGCGUGAAUGGAAGUGAGCUCAUCAUGUUGAAUGAGCAACUGCUCAUCGACAAACUCCGGGAACUUCUCGAGAAGAAGAGGUACCUCAUUGUAAUUGAUGAUAUAUGGGAUGCGAAAUUAUGGACAGUCAUCAACUACGCAUUCUCCAAGGUUUAUCAAAUGGAACCUCUUAGUGAUGAUGAUUCCAAAAGGCUCUUCCAUAAACGGAUAUUUUCUCAUGAGAGUGGGUGUCCUCGUGAAUUUGAAGAAGUAUCUAGGGAUAUAUUGAAGAAAUGUGGUGGUGUGCCAUUAGCCAUUAUUACUAUAGCGAGUGUUUUGGCUAGCAACCAAAAAGUAAAUUCACAUGAUGAGUGGAAGGCUUUGCUAGAUUCUAUUGGGCGUGGACUUACCAAAGACCGCAGUGUGGAGGAGAUGCUGAGGAUACUAUCGUUCAGCUAUUAUGACCUGCCGUGUCAUCUGAAGACAUGCUUAUUAUAUCUAAGCAUGUUUCCGGAAGAUAGCGAGGUCAUGAAAGAUGAGCUGAUAUGGAUGUGGAUUGCUGAGAAUUUUAUCCAAUGUGAAACAGAAAAAAUUAGUCUCUUUCAGAUUGGAGAAACUUACUUUAAUGAGCUAGUGAACAGAAGCCUUCUCCAGCCGGUAUACGAUAAUUAUGGCAUUGUACAUGCCUGCCGUGUACACGACAGUGUGCUGGAUCUAAUUUGUCAAUUGUCAAGGGAAGAGAACUUUGUCAGUAUACUGGAUGGUAGCAUGUCAUCUCAGUGCAAUAUCCGCAGGCUAUCCCUCCAGAAGAUUAAUGAAGAAGAGCAUGAGACCACACCUCUCGAAUCUGUGAGUAUGGUACAAGUGAGGUCCAUUGCAACAUUUGAACCCGCUACUGGUCUGAUAUCUCGUCUCUCAAGCUUUGUUGUUUUACGUGUAUUGAAUUUGAGUACAUGUGCACUUGGUGAUCAUAACCUUCGGGAGUUGUGGAGUUUAGUUCACCUGAGGUACCUAGACCUAUCCAAUACAGGACUACAUGAGCUCCCGGAAGAGGUUGGAAAGUUGCGGUUUUUGCACGUGCUGGAUGUGAGUGGAAACCCUUAUAUAGAAAAACUGCCAUCGAGUGUUAUUAAACUGAGAAGAUUGACGUGCCUACUUUAUAGUAGAAGUUGCAAUCGUCUUCCAGAUGGGAUUGGAAACCUGACAGCAAUGGAAGAGUUGAGUUCUAUCCAUGGUGACUCUCUAAGCAUUGUGAAAGAGAUGGGCAACAUGAAAAGGAUGAGGAAGUUUGAAAUUAAGUUUGAGCAUUUGAGCUUGGAGUUGGAGGAAGCUUUUGUGAAGUCACUAGGGGAGAUGUCCAACGUCCAAAGUGUAACCAUUAGUAAUCAUCGUGGAUCUAAAAUGAUGGAUCUCUUGGGGGAAAAGUGGGUUCCCCCUCGAGGUCUCCGGGAAUUGAAAGCACGUGGUGUAUUGAGAUUCUCUAGGCUGCCAGCAUGGAUAAGAGAGAACCCCUCGCAGAUGUCGCAGCUCUCAUGGUUAGAAAUUGGCCUGACGGAGGUGCGACAGGUGGAUCUGAGACUGCUUGGAAGGUUGCCGGCUCUUCAGAUUCUCUUACUGGAGUGCCUCCGCCAGGGGCCUCUACUGGUCGAAGCAGAUGGGUUCCGUUGUCUGACACUGUUCUACUUGUGGUCCAGUUCGCCGGGCCAAGUCGUGUUCCAGCCAGGAGCUUUGCCCAAGGCGACACAUGUUAAGCUCCGUACCGGUCUGCCGGUCGCAAAAGAGGAAGCAGACGGCAACAACAGCGGUGAUUGGUUUGACACGGGCAUAGCGGACCUGCCUUCCCUUCGGUUGGUCCGUGUCGAUUUCUGCACUUCGGUACUGCGACAGGAGGAGGCCGAGAAAGCUAGGUCUGCACUGGAGACGGCCCUCGAUGCCCAUCCUAACAGCCCCAGGCAUGACGUCUACGCAGUAGACAUGGACAGUGAUGGCGAGGAGUCAGAGUCUGACGACGGCAGGGACGGCGAGGAGUGA